rnacentral:misc_RNA from 1 species
GUGAAUCAUCGAAUUUUUGAACGCAAAUUGCACUCUCUGGUAUUCCGGAGAGUAUGCCUGUUUGAGGGUCAGUUAAAAUCAAAAUCGGUCUGGUUGCCGCCUUUCGUGGUGACGCACCGGCUUUGGGUCGUUUUGCCUUCGGUUAAGUUACAAUCCACUUUGCAUGCACUUUUUCGAACGUCUUUAACUGCUUUUACGUACGCUUGCGCUCUAGACUAAUA